GAAAGGCGCGCGAUACAGGGUGACAGCCCCGUACACAAAAAUGCACAUAUUGUGAGCUCGAUGAGUAGGGCGGGACACGUGGUAUCCUGUCUGAAUAUGGGGGGACCAUCCUCCAAGGCUAAAUACUCCUGACUGACCGAUAGUGAACCAGUACCGUGAGGGAAAGGCGAAAAGAACCCCGGCGAGGGGAGUGAAAAAGAACCUGAAACCGUGUACGUACAAGCAGUGGGAGCACAGAGCAAUCUGUGUGACUGCGUACCUUUUGUAUAAUGGGUCAGCGACUUAUAUUCUGUAGCAAGGUUAACCGAAUAGGGGAGCCGAAGGGAAACCGAGUCUUAACUGGGCGUUAAGUUGCAGGGUAUAGACCCGAAACCCGGUGAUCUAGCCAUGGGCAGGUUGAAGGUUGGGUAACACUAACUGGAGGACCGAACCGACUAAUGUUGAAAAAUUAGCGGAUGACUUGUGGCUGGGGGUGAAAGGCCAAUCAAACCGGGAGAUAGCUGGUUCUCCCCGAAAGCUAUUUAGGUAGCGCCUCGUGAAUUCAUCUCCGGGGGUAGAGCACUGUUUCGGCAAGGGGGUCAUCCCGACUUACCAACCCGAUGCAAACUGCGAAUACCGGAGAAUGUUAUCACGGGAGACACACGGCGGGUGCUAACGUCCGUCGUGAAGAGGGAAACAACCCAGACCGCCAGCUAAGGUCCCAAAGUCAUGGUUAAGUGGGAAACGAUGUGGGAAGGCCCAGACAGCCAGGAUGUUGGCUUAGAAGCAGCCAUCAUUUAAAGAAAGCGUAAUAGCUCACUGGUCGAGUCGGCCUGCGCGGAAGAUGUAACGGGGCUAAACCAUGCAC
rnacentral:rRNA from 1 species